rnacentral:SRP_RNA from 1 species
GCCGGGCAUGGUGGCACAUGCUUGUAAUCCCAGCUACUAGGGAGGCUGAGGCAGGAGGAUCACUUGAGCCUAGGAGGCUGAGGUUGCAGUGAGCCAUGAUCGAGCCACUGCACUCCAGCCUGGGCAACAGAGCAAGACUCUGUCUCAG